GACGAACCGUGCGAACGUUAUUCGGAAUCACUGGGCUUAAAGGGCGCGUAGGCGGCUUGCCAAGUCCGGGGUGAAAGCCUCCAGCUCAACUGGAGAAGUGCCUUGGAUACUGGCGAGCUCGAGUGAGGUAGGGGCGGGUGGAACUUCCGGUGGAGCGGUGAAAUGCGUUGAUAUCGGAAGGAACGCCGGUGGCGAAAGCGACCCGCUGGACCUCUUCUGACGCUGAGGCGCGAAAGCUAGGGGAGCGAACGGG
rnacentral:rRNA from 1 species